AUUGAACGCUGGCGGCAUGCUUUACACAUGCAAGUCGAACGGUAACAGGCCGCAAGGUGCUGACGAGUGGCGAACGGGUGAGUAAUGCAUCGGAACGUGCCCAGUCGUGGGGGAUAACUACUCGAAAGAGUAGCUAAUACCGCAUACGAUCUAUGGAUGAAAGCGGGGGACCGUAAGGCCUCGCGCGAUUGGAGCGGCCGAUGUCAGAUUAGGUAGUUGGUGGGGUAAAGGCUCACCAAGCCAACGAUCUGUAGCUGGUCUGAGAGGACGACCAGCCACACGGGGACUGAGACGCGGCCCAGACUCCUACGGGAGGCAGCAGUGGGGAAUUUUGGACAAUGGGCGCAAGCCUGAUCCAGCAAUGCCGCGUGCAGUAAGAAGGCCUUCGGGUUGUAAACUGCUUUUGUACGGAACGAAACGGCUCUGGUUAAUACCCGGGGCUAAUGACGGUACCGUAAGAAUAAGCACCGGCUAACUACGUG
rnacentral:rRNA from 1 species